UACGUAGGGGGCAAGCGUUGUCCGGAUUUAUUGGGCGUAAAGAGCGUGUAGGCGGCCAUUCAGGUCAGCUGUGAAAACUCGAGGCUCAACCUCGAGACGUCGGUUGAAACCGUAAGGCUAGAGUCCGGAAGAGGAGAGUGGAAUUCCCGGUGUAGCGGUGAAAUGCGCAGAUAUCAGGAGGAACACCAGUGGCGAAGGCGACACGCUGGGCCGUACCUGACACUGAUGCGCGACAGCAUGGGAGCAA
rnacentral:rRNA from 1 species